UACGUAGGGUGCAAGCGUUAAUUGGAAUUACUGGGCGUAAAGCGUGCGCAGGCGGUUUUGUAAGACUGUCGUGAAAUCCCCGGGCUUAACCUGGGAAUGGCGAUGGUGACUGCAAGGCUAGAGUUUGGCAGAGGGGGGUAGAAUUCCACGUGUAGCAGUGAAAUGCGUAGAUAUGUGGAGGAACACCGAUGGCGAAGGCAGCCCCCUGGGUCAAAACUGACGCUCAUGCACGAAAGCGUGGGGAGCAAACAGG
rnacentral:rRNA from 1 species